rnacentral:rRNA from 1 species
AUUGAACGCUGGCGGCAUGCUUUACACAUGCAAGUCGAACGGUAGAGGGGGCAACCCCUUGAGAGUGGCGAACGGGUGAGUAAUGCAUCGGAACGUGCCUAGCCGGGGGGGAUAACGCAGCGAAAUCUGUGCUAAUACCGCAUACGAUCUCUGGCUGAAAGCGGGGGACCUUGGAGCAAUCCGGGUCCUCGCGCCUUGCUAGCGUCUGAUGUCUGAUUAGGUAGUUGGUGGGGUAAAGGCUCACCAAGCCAACGAUCUGGAGCGGUGUCUCAGAGGACGACCAGCCAGACUGGGACUGAGACACGGCCCAGACUCCGACGGGAGGCAGCAGUGGGGAAUUUUGGACAAUGGGCGCAAGCCUGAUCCAGCAAUGCCGCGUGCAGGAAGAAGGCCUUCGGGUUGUAAACUGCUUUAGUACGGAACGAAAAGGUCUGGGUUAAUACCCUGGGCACAUGACGGUACCGUAAGAAUAAGCACCGGCUAACUACGUGCCAGCCGCCGCCGUAA